ACGGGAGGCAGCAGUGGGGAAUAUUGGGCAAUGGGGGAAACCCUGACCCAGCAACGCCGCGUGAAGGAAGAAGGCUUUCGGGUUGUAAACUUCUUUUAAGAGGGACGAACACAAUGACGGUACCUCUUGAAUAAGCCACGGCUAACUACGUGCCAGCAGCCGCGGUAAUACGUAGGUGGCAAGUGUUAUCCGGAUUUACUGGGUGUAAAGGGCGUGUAGGCGGGACAGCAAGUCAGAUGUGAAAGCACGAGGCUCAACUUCGUGUCUGCAUUUGAAACUGCUGUUCUUGAGUGCUGGAGAGGCUAACGGAACUCGUAGUGUAGCGGUGAAAUGCGUAGAUAUUAGGAAGAACACCAGUGGCGAAGGCGGUUAGCUGGACAGUAACUGACGCUGAGGCGCGAAAGCGUGGGUAGCAAACAGGAUUAGAUACCCUGGUA
rnacentral:rRNA from 1 species